rnacentral:rRNA from 1 species
UGGGGAAUUUUGGACAAUGGGGGCAACCCUGAUCCAGCCAUGCCGCGUGAGUGAAGAAGGCCUUCGGGUUGUAAAGCUCUUUCGGCCGGGAAGAAAUCGCAUGGGCUAAUACCCUGUGUGGAUGACGGUACCGGAAUAAGAAGCACCGGCUACCUACGUGCCAGCAGCCGCGGUAAUACGUAGGGUGCGAGCGUUAAUCGGAAUUACUGGGCGUAAAGCGUGCGCAGGCGGUUUAGUAAGACAGGCGUGAAAUCCCCGGGCUCAACCUGGGAACUGCGCUUGUGACUGCUAAGCUAGAGUACGGCAGAGGGGGGUGGAAUUCCACGAGUAGCAGUGAAAUGCGUAGAGAUGUGGAGGAACACCGAUGGCGAAGGCAGCCCCCUGGGCCGAUACUGACGCUCAUGCACGAAAGCGUGGGUAGCAAACA